CKGCUUCAGUAACACGUGGCUAACCUACCCUCGAGACGGGGACAACCCCGGGAAACUGGGGCUAAUCCCAGAUAGAUGAGAACUCCUGCAAUGGGUUCUCGUCCAAAAGGCACCAAGAUCAUGCUUCUUGGCGUCGCUUAAGGAUGGGGCCGCGACCGAUCAGGCUGUUGGUGAGGCAACGGCUCACCAAACCUUUAACCGGUACGGGCCGUGGGAGCGGGUGCCCGGAGAUGGGAACUGAGACAAGGUCCCAGGCCCUACGGGGCGCAGCAGUUACGAAAACUUGUCAAUGCACGAAAGUGUGAACGGGCUACCCCGAGUGCCGUCCGCUGAGGAUGGCUUUUCUCUGCUGUAAGGAAGCGGAGGAAUAAGGAGAGGGCAAGUCUGGUGUCAGCCGCCGCGGUAAUACCAGCUCUCCGAGUGGUAGGGAUGAUUAUUGGGCUUAAAGCGUCCGUAGCCGGCCUCUCAAGUCUCUCGUUAAAUCCAGCGAUUCAAUCGUUGGACUGCGGGAGAUACUGUGAGGCUAGGGGGCGGGAGAAGCCGACGGUAUUUCCGGGGUAGGGGUAAAAUCCUAUAAUCCCAGGAAGACCACCAGUGGCGAAGGCGGUCGGCUAGCACGCGCCCGACGGUGAGGGACGAAAGCUGGGGGAGCGAACCGGAUUAGAUACCCGGGUAGUCCCAGCUGUAAACGAUGCUGGCUAGGUGUUGAAGCGGCCACGAGUCGCUUCAGUGUCGCAGGGAAGCCAUUAAGCCAGCCGCCUGGGGAGUACGGCCGCAAGGCUGAAACUUAAAGGAAUUGGCGGGGGAGCAC
rnacentral:rRNA from 1 species